UACGAAGGGGGCUAGCGUUGCUCGGAAUCACUGGGCGUAAAGGGUGCGUAGGCGGGUCUUAAGUCAGGGGUGAAAUCCUGGAGCUCAACUCCAGAACUGCCUUUGAUACUGAGGAUCUUGAGUUCGGGAGAGGUGAGUGGAACUGCGAGUGUAGAGGUGAAAUUCGUAGAUAUUCGGAAGAACACCAGUGGCGAAGGCGGCUCACUGGCCCGGUACUGACGCUGAGAUACGAAAGCGUGGGGAGCAAACAGG
rnacentral:rRNA from 1 species